rnacentral:rRNA from 1 species
UACGUAGGGUGCAAGCGUUAAUCGGAAUUACUGGGCGUAAAGCGUGCGCAGGCGGUGAUGUAGGACAGAUGUGAAAUCCCCGGGCUCAACCUGGGAACUGCAUUUGUGACUGCAUCGCUAGAGUACGGUAGAGGAGAGUGGAAUUCCCGGUGUAGCAGUGAAAUGCGUAGAGAUCGGGAGGAACAUCAGUUGCGAAGGCGGCUCUCUGGACCAGUACUGACGCUGAGGCACGAAAGCGUGGGGAGCAAACAGG